UGCACACAUGUCCCAGGGCCUUCCACUCCUUCAGUCACCCAGCUAAUGCUAUGGAGGCCUGCAGUGCCCAGGCACAGCAGUGAACAGCAAAGCCCUGCCCUCGUGGAGCUUACAUUCAAGUUGGAGGAGACUGGAAAUAAACAAAUAAACCAGGAAAGAGUAAAAUAUUCUGUCAGUUGGUGUUAAGUACUGUGGAGAUGAAAGCACAGCAAGGAGUGAAGGGGAACUGCUAUAGAGGACAGAAGGCCUCAGAGAACCAGGAAUGGAAGACAGAAGAGAGAUUGCCAGGAACCAUUUCUAAAUUUUAAUUCUCUCUAUGGUUCAGAAUGCAAGUGGAAAAAAGGGCAACCGUCAUGUCGGAAGACUAAGAGGGAAAGAGCAUCCCAGUGAGACCCAGAUUUCAGCUGAGGCCUGAAGGCUGAGGGAAUCUACCAUGGGGUAUGGGAAAAAGAAGUCAUCUGUCUUCAAAUCACGAAGAAAGUCCUCAUCAGGAACCAAAUCAUCUGCCACCUUGCUCUUGGACUUCCCAGGCUCUAGAACUAUGAGAAAUAAAUUUUUUGCUGGAUGAAGUGGCUCAUGCCUGUAAUCCCAAAUUUUUCAGAGGCCAAGGCAGUAGGAUCACUUGGGUCCAGGAGUUCAAGACAAGCCUGGGCAACAAAGUGAGACUCUGUCUCUCCAAAAGUCAAAAACUUAGCCAGGCAUGGUAGCAUGAGCCUGUGGUUCCAGCCUUACAAGAGGCUGAGGCAGGAGGAUUGCUUGAGCCAAAAAGAAGAGGCUGCAA
rnacentral:lncRNA from 10 species